rnacentral:lncRNA from 1 species
AGCUGCCUGAACGCCUCUGUGGAUCGGCCUCGCCUUGCUUCAGGCAACACCAAGGCAGAAAGGCAUGAAAACCAGGGCUCUCCUGCAGCAUCCACCACCCCUCUGCUGUGGGCGCCGUCAAAAAGCAUGUGUGGGCCUUCUGCCAGGAACUCCCUGGCAGGGCAUGGCUGCAAAGCCAAGCCUCCCUGGCGGUAAAGUGAAACCUCACUCCAUGUGUAUGUACAGCCCUCACCUAUGUGACCUGGGGAUUGACCACCUGGCGAGGAUGUCUGCAAGGACCUGGGACUGAUGGAGACCAUGACAGCAGGGCUGCGCUAUGCAGGAGGAUGAACAAAGUGAUCACAGCACUGAAUGGACAAUAACCUGGGCAGGAGGCAGUCCUGCAGUAGUGGAGUGGGAUGUCUGGCUGUGGUGGCAACAGCAAUUUCCACCAACCAGCAAUCUUCAGAAAAGAUGAGCAGGUGGAUGCUGUGGAGCAAAUCAACAAACUGAAGUAACUGUCCUGAAACUGCCUCAGAGAACUGCUGAACCUGAAAGCAGGAUGCAAAGUGCAAUAGCAAAGUGCUGGAGUAACUGAAAGAUGAAGCCUCUGAAAAUGAAGAGGGAUUUUAUCUAAGAAAACAUGGUGGCUCGGCUCUGCUGUAUGACCAGGUACGGCCAACUCACCCCCAGCUGCUGUACUCAUACGCCCUCCCUACCUUUGACCCAACCCUGACUCCUCAUCUUGUCUCCCAGGAGCGUAUCAGGCUUCCUGAUUAGGGAACUGCUUAGCUUCCAAGAUCAGCUGUGCCCAGCUCCAGGUCCUGCCAGGAGCAGCCUGUAUCAGACAGCUGUACGUGCGGUCAGUGUUAGCUCGCUCUGCCCAGCCUGCAGGUGUGACGUGCCGCUUGUGGUGCUGCCGCAGCCUAUCACAGUGCUCUGUGCAGGUGGUGGCAGAGCCGAGGCAGUGGCUGGGGAUAGCAGGUAGUCCCAUGCGUGAGCUGCUUGCUUGGUGCUUGCAAUUGAUUUGCUACAGCGCUGCUUUCAACUGAAACCGGCAGUACGUUAUGGCAGAGCAGUGUCUCAUCCUGCCUGGAGACACUGGAGCCCGGCAGUGACCACGCGCAGGCAGCAGCCCGACACAGCAGCACUGCAG